rfam:Nasonia vitripennis chromosome 1, whole genome shotgun sequence.
CAAACGGCCCUUUUCAGGGCCACUAAAAUACUUUUACGUGGAUAA